rnacentral:rRNA from 1 species
UACGGGGGGAGCAAGCGUUGUUCGGAUUUACUGGGCGUAAAGGGCGCGUAGGCGGCCACCGCAAGUCGGCUGUGAAAUCUCUGGGCUUAACCCAGAAAGGUCAACCGAUACUGCGGGGCUAGAGUGCAGAAGGGGCAACUGGAAUUCUCGGUGUAGCGGUGAAAUGCGUAGAUAUCGAGAGGAACACCUGCGGCGAAGGCGGGUUGCUGGGCUGACACUGACGCUGAGGAGCGAAAGCUAGGGGAGCAAACGGG